CAGCAGCCGCGGUAAUACGGAGGGUGCAAGCGUUAAUCGGAAUUACUGGGCGUAAAGCGCACGCAGGCGGUUAUAUAAGACAGAUGUGAAAUCCCCGGGCUCAACCUGGGAACUGCAUUUGUGACUGUAUAGCUAGAGUACGGCAGAGGGGGAUGGAAUUCCGCGUGUAGCAGUGAAAUGCGUAGAUAUGCGGAGGAACACCGAUGGCGAAGGCAAUCCCCUGGGCCUGUACUGACGCUCAUGCACGAAAGCGUGGGGAGCAAACAGGAUUAGAUACCCGAGUAGUCCCUGUCUCUUAUAC
rnacentral:rRNA from 1 species